GCACUGUGAGCUCUAGAGACCACUGUUACUAGCAGUAAUAACCCAUUCCUUUCACUCACAGCAAGGUAAGAAUAAGAAACUAAAGAGGAGCAGAGAAUGAGCUAAGCAGUGCCUGAAGCAUGAAUAUGGGGAGUAGCAACAAUAUGGGAUGGGGUUCUGCCAGGAGGAUGCCACUCUGUGAGGCUGCAGAUGUUCACAAACUGCUCCAGCACGGUCCCUCCCUCAGGGUGCAGUCCUUCAGGAGCACACUGCUUUGGUGUAGAUCCUCCAUGGGGCCACCAGUCCUGCCAGCAAACCUGCUCAGCAAACAGCUCCUUCCAGAACUCUGCUGAAGCUCAGG